CUUCAUAUCAUAUUUCUCUUGCUCGAGUUAACUCUGCCUGUCACUCCAUGCAAAUUACAGUCUUUACAAGGCCCACCCCUCGGUCUGGGUAUUCAUUGCUUUAAUCAAGGAGCAUAUAGGCAACUCUCACAGCAGCUUUUUUUUUUUUUUAAUUUUUUUUCAGUUGAAGUUAGUUGAUUUACAAUGUUGUGUUAGUUUCUGGCGUACGGCAUAGUGAUUCAGUUACAGGUACAUCUUAAUCAUUGUAUUCUUAGCCAGACGUGACUAUAUAAUUGGUCUCCUUUUACUCCUCUGUAUUUGAUUCCAUUGAAAAACACCCUUCUGGGCAAGGGUCCCUUGGUUUCCCCGGACGGCCGGUGGGAUCUGUGACACCGGAAAGGUCAAAGACCCGAUUGGUUGGGCCCUGGGCUCAGCCGGUGGACAGUCCUGGCCAGCAGCUGCGAGGGCUAGAGCCCAGGGAUGAGUGUGCCCAGGGGAGAUGCGAGCCCCGCGGGCCUCCCUCUGACCUGUCGCUGAAGCACG
rnacentral:lncRNA from 1 species